UGUAAAUAAAAAUGUUAUAAUUAUUGAAAAACCACACCUAAAGUGCAUUAUGAUGAUUUAAAUAACGUGGUUUGUCCAAAAACGUGUGGUCCCUGGCAUAUUUCUUAGAGAUUUCUAUGCAGUACGCAAUGUGUUAAGAUGUAUCACAUUCUGCA